ensembl:lncRNA
CAGAGACUCAGGUCAGUUUUGCCUUUUUGUCAGAAUCAACUACGCUUUGGAGCGAGGAGACUCCUGUGUUUCCUGUCCACUUCUGAUGAUUAGUACCUCAGCAUUACCUUCUCGUUUAUGAUAAGUGAAUAAUUUGAUUAAAAGCACAUUUGGACAAGGAACAAGGCAAAACAUUUGGUGAGGCCAACCAGAGGUGAAAGACGUUCUGUGAAAGGGAAAAUAGAUUUGGAGUUUCCAGGUCUAGAUGCCUCUGGAGUGCACUUUCUUUCUUCUUUUCUCUGCAGAAUUCAGCUGCAGGAACUUUCCAGUAGUUUGGAAAAUGCAGCGUUGAAAAUGACACUUGUCAAGUAUCGCUCUCUAUCCAUGGACUUACGAGCUCUUCCCAUCACCAAUAUCCAAACAGAUGAAGUCAGCGAAACUGGCUCAGCUUCAUGACCAAACUGCAAAGUGGAAAAAACCCAGCAUUUAAACUCAGACCUUCGGAUCUGAAAUCUGGUUGAAGUUUUUUUAUGCCCCACAGCUGCCUCCUGAGGGAGGGCUUUUAAAAAUUUUAUUUUAUUUUUGAAAAACUCCAGCACUGAUGAUAUUAAUAGCUUAGUAACCAGGUCUAAACACAAAGUCAUACACACGGUUAGAUGACUGCAGGUUAAACUUGCAGAACCCGCCUUCCGGCUCCUCCGAUUUUCUCUGCAAACUAAACUCUGUGAUGAGGACAAUAAAGUGACCCGGCUCCAUUACAAACAGAACUGAAAUGAGUGGCGGGGAAGUGGGAAUCAACCAGGCUGCUGCGCACUGACCUUGGAAGGUCAGGAGGUUUGCUCCAGGAGGUGACCUCCACCCUGUGUGUUCCUGUAAGAAGCCAGUGGUGAAGUUCUGUUUCAGAACUGCCAGGUUCUCCUGGGCAUCCUCUUUUUUGACCCUGGAAAAGGAAGGCAGCUUUUCCAAGAGGGGCUUGCUCAGUGAAAUUCACAAAGCACAUUGCUGGGCAUCACUUGCUCUGCAGAACUUGAAAGAAGGCAGCUGCCUCUCCUUUGAAACAGAGUCAUGAGGGCCUCAUGUUGCCUUUUGAUGAGUCUCAGGCUGGGGUUGAGGAUGAAGGCAACCGGUGAAGUUGGGAACCCA